UCCCUGGUGGUCCAGUGGCUAGGACUCCGUGUUCCCAAUGCAGGGGGCCCGGGUUCGAUCCCUUGUCAGGGAG
rnacentral:tRNA from 1 species